rnacentral:misc_RNA from 1 species
AACGCAUAUUGCACCCCCUGGUAUUCCGGGGGGUACACCUGUCCGAGCGCCAUUUCAUUCCUCAAGUUUGACUUGGUGUUGGGGGUCAUCCGGUGGGAUACCCCCUAAACUAUUAGGCCACCCCCAGUAAUUUAGGGCGUCACGAACUCACGUAUGCGCUAAAAAUUACAGGGGGCGUGUCAAAAAUUAGUGGGAAAAACACUUUUUUUGGAAUCACCAACUAAAAAUUAGUGGGAAAUUCGCUUAUUUUAGCGGGUCCCCCCUGUUUUUUUGUUUUUGUCCCCCCAAGUUUAGUGGGUGCCCUCCGAAUUUUGAAUUUCUUUAGUGGCUAACCCCCUAAAAAGUUCUCAAAUUUAGUGGGCGCCCCCCUAAUUUCUUCAGUUUUGGCCUCGGAUCAGGUGGGGAUACCCGCUGAACUUAA